UACGUAGGGGGCGAGCGUUGUCCGGAUUCAUUGGGCGUAAAGGGCGCGUAGGCGGUUUGACAAGUCUGAUGUGAAAUCUAUGGGCUCAACCCAUAGCCUGCAUUAGAAACUGUCGGGCUUGAGUAUGGGAGAGGUGAGUGGAAUUUCCGGUGCAGCGGUGAAAUGCGUAGAUAUCGGAAGGAACACCUGUGGCGAAAGCGGCUCACUGGACCAUAACUGACGCUGAGGCGCGAAAGCUAGGGGAGCAAACAGG
rnacentral:rRNA from 1 species